rnacentral:rRNA from 1 species
CCUACGGGAGGCAGCAGUGAGGAAUAUUGGUCAAUGGCCGGAAGGCUGAACCAGCCAAGCCGCGUGAAGGACGAAGGUGCCAAGCAUUGUAAACUUCUUUUGUCAAGGGACAAAAUCAGGCUCGAGAGCCUGACCGAGGGUACGUGAAGAAAAAGCAUCGGCCAACUCCGUGCCAGCAGCCGCGGUAAUACGGAGGAUGCGAGCGUUAUCCGGAUUGAUUGGGUUGAAGGGGUGCGGAGGCGGGCUGUUAAGUCAGCGGUAAAAGCCCGGGGCUCAACCCCGGCGAGCCGUUGAAACUGGCUGUCUUGAGAUGUCGAGAGGUAUGCGGAAUGCGCAGUGUAGCGGUGAAAUGCUUAGAUAUUGCGCAGAACUCCGAUUGCGAAGGCAGCAUACCGGCGGCGAUCUGACGCUGAGGCACGAAAGCGUGGGUAUCGAACAGGAUUAGAUACCCUAGUAGUC